GUGCGUUGACUCCAAUUGAACCGCAGGCUUCACCCCUUGUGGUGCUCCCCCGCCAAUUCCUUUAAGUUUCAUACUUAGCGUACGUACUUCCCAGGCGGCAGACUUAACGGCUUCCCUGCGGCACUGCAUUGGCCACAAGCCAAUGCAUCACCGAGUCUGCAUCGUUUACAGCUGGGACUACCCGGGUAUCUAAUCCGGUUUGCUCCCCCAGCUUUCAUCCCUCACCGUCGAACGUGUUCUGGUACACCGCCUUCGCCACAGGUGGUCUUCAAUAGACCAAAGGAUUUUACCCCUUCCUAUCGAGUACCGUGUACCUCUCCCACUCCCUAGCUGCACAGUAUUUUCGGCGGCCUAUACGUUAAGCGCAUAGAUUUAACCGAAAACUUAUGCAACCGGCUACGGAUGCUUUAGGCCCAAUAAACCUCCUGACCACUCGAGGUGCUGGUUUUACCGCGGCGGCUGACACCAGAACUUGCCCACCCCUUAUUCACCAGUGAUUCUACAACUGACAAAAGACUCCUUUAGCAGGAGACACUCGGAUUAACCUUGUCGUGCUUUCGCACAUUGCAAAGGUUUCUCGCCUGCUGCGCCCCAUAGGGCCUGGGUCCGUGUCUCAGUACCAUCUCCGG
rnacentral:rRNA from 1 species